AGAGUUUGAUCCUGGCUCAGAAUGAACGCUGGCGGCGUGCUUAACACAUGCAAGUUGAACGAGAAAGGCCCUUCGGGGCUGAGUAAAGUAGCGAACGGGUGAGUAACGCGUGGGAAUCUGCCCUUUGGUGGAGGAUACCCCUGGGAAACCGGGGUUAAUCCUGCAUAAGUUCUACGGAAGAAAGACGGCCUCUUGCUGUCGCCGAAGGAUGAGCCCGCGUCCUAUUAGUUUGUUGGUGGGGUAACGGCCUACCAAGACUGUGAUGGGUAGCCGGCCUGAGAGGGUGUACGGCCACAUUGGGACUGAGAUACGGCCCAGACUCCUACGGGAGGCAGCAGUGAGGAAUAUUGCGCAAUGGACGAAAGUCUGACGCAGCGACGCCGCGUGGAGGAAUAAGGUCCUCGGAUUGUAAACUCCUGUUAAGUGGAAAUAAAUGCCGGAGGUUAAUAGCUUUCGGAGAUGAAGGUACCACUAGAGAAAGUCCCGGCUAACUUCGUGCCAGCAGCCGCGGUAAUACGAGGGGGACAAGCGUUAUUCGGAGUUACUGGGCGUAAAGAGCGUGUAGGCGGCGUCGUAAGUCAGCUGUUAAAGACCUUUGGCUUAACCCGAGGAACAGCGGUUGAAACUGCGGUGCUAGAGUGCGACAGAGAAGGGUGGAAUUCUCGGAGUAGCGGUAAAAUGCGUAGAUCUCGAGAGGAACACCGAUGGCGAAGGCAGCCCUUUGGGUCGCAACUGACGCUAAAGCGCGAAAGCGUGGGUAGCAAACAGGAUUAGAUACCCUGGUAGUCCACGCCGUAAACGAUGAUCACUAGAUGUUUGAAGCCUUCGGGUUUUGGGUGUCGAAGCUAACGCGUUAAGUGAUCCGCCUGGGGAGUACGGUCGCAAGAUUAAAACUCAAAGGAAUUGACGGGGGCCCGCCACAAGCGGUGGAACAUGUGGUUUAAUUCGACGAUACGCGAGGAACCUUACCUAGGCUUGACAUGCACUUGCCCGCAGUGGAAGCACUGUUUUUCUAGUUUACUAGACGGGUGCGCAGGUGCUGCAUGGCUGUCGUCAGCUCGUGUCGUGAGAUGUUGGGUUAAGUCCUUUAACGAGCGCAACCCCUGUCGUUAGUUGCUAGUCUUCGGACGCACUCUAGCGAGACUGCCUGGGGAACCAGGAGGAAGGUGGGGAUGACGUCAAGUCCUCAUGGCCCUUAUGCCUAGGGCAACACACGUGUUACAAUGGCCGGCACAGAGGGGAGCAAAGCCGCGAGGUGGAGCAAAUCCCAGAAAACCGGUCUAAGUUCGGAUUGGAGUCUGCAACUCGACUCCAUGAAGCUGAAAUCGCUAGUAAUCGCGCAUCAGAACGGCGCGGUGAAUACGUUCCCGGGCCUUGUACACACCGCCCGUCACACCAUGAAAGUUGUCUGUACCCGAAGUCGACUUAGCCAACCAGCUUGCUGGGGGCGGUCGCCGAAGGUGUGGGUGAUGAUUGGGGUGAAGUCGUAACAAGGUAACC
rnacentral:rRNA from 1 species